rnacentral:rRNA from 1 species
AGAGUUUGAUCCUGGCUCAGAUUGAACGCUGGCGGCAGGCCUAACACAUGCAAGUCGAACGGUAGCACAGAGAGCUUGCUCUUGGGUGACGAGUGGCGGACGGGUGAGUAAUGUCUGGGAAACUGCCCGAUGGAGGGGGAUAACUACUGGAAACGGUAGCUAAUACCGCAUAACGUCGCAAGACCAAAGUGGGGGACCUUCGGGCCUCACACCAUCGGAUGUGCCCAGAUGGGAUUAGCUAGUAGGUGGGGUAACGGCUCACCUAGGCGACGAUCCCUAGCUGGUCUGAGAGGAUGACCAGCCACACUGGAACUGAGACACGGUCCAGACUCCUACGGGAGGCAGCAGUGGGGAAUAUUGCACAAUGGGCGCAAGCCUGAUGCAGCCAUGCCGCGUGUAUGAAGAAGGCCUUCGGGUUGUAAAGUACUUUCAGCGAGGAGGAAGGCGUUGUAGUUAAUAACUGCAGCGAUUGACGUUACUCGCAGAAGAAGCACCGGCUAACUCCGUGCCAGCAGCCGCGGUAAUACGGAGGGUGCAAGCGUUAAUCGGAAUUACUGGGCGUAAAGCGCACGCAGGCGGUCUGUCAAGUCGGAUGUGAAAUCCCCGGGCUCAACCUGGGAACUGCAUUCGAAACUGGCAGGCUAGAGUCUUGUAGAGGGGGGUAGAAUUCCAGGUGUAGCGGUGAAAUGCGUAGAGAUCUGGAGGAAUACCGGUGGCGAAGGCGGCCCCCUGGACAAAGACUGACGCUCAGGUGCGAAAGCGUGGGGAGCAAACAGGAUCAGAUACCCUGGUAGUCCACGCCGUAAACGAUGUCGACUUGGAGGUUGUGCCCUUGAGCGUGCUUCCGGAGCUAACGCGUAAGUCGACCGCUGGGGAGUACGCGCAAGUAAACUCAAAGGAAUUGACG